GAAGAAUCCUGGGAACUGUAGUUUUUAAGGGUACUGUGAAUCAUAGCUCUAUGAGAACUGCAGUUCCCAGGUUUUUU